rnacentral:rRNA from 1 species
CACGUAGGGGGCAAGCGUUUGUCCGGAUUUAUUGGGCGUAAAGAGCUCGUAGGCGGCUCAGUAAGUCAGGUGUGAAACCUCCAGGCUCAACCUGGAGACGCCACCUGAUACUGCUGUGGCUAGAGUCCGGUAGGGGAGCGUGGAAUUCCUGGUGUAGGCGGUGAAAUGCGCAGAUAUCAGGAGGAACACCAGCGGCGGAAAGGCGGCGCUCUGGGCCGGAACUGACGC